rnacentral:lncRNA from 1 species
AGACACAGAGUGCUGUUUCCUCUAACACAGACCUCAGAUUGUCUUCCUUAUUUUGCUAAAAGAGGGCCUGAUAACGAAUAAUGGUAUCUCAGAAAGCCAGUGCUUUGUACCAAUCUGCUCUUGGCUCGCUAUGAUACCUACACUCUUCCAUAGUUUUCUUUAAUCUAUGAAACAACUUUUCGUUUGAGGUCCUCUUAAGACACGGAGUGCUGUUUCCUCUAACGCAGACCUCAGUUUGUCUUCUUUAUUUUGCUAAAAGAGGGCCUGAUAACAAAUAAUGGUAUCUCAGAAAGCCAGUGCUUUGUACCAACCUGCUCUUGGCUCGCUAUGAUGCUUACACUCUUCCAUAGUUUUGUUUAAUCUACGAAACAACUUUUCCUUUGCGGUCCUCUUAAGACACGGAGUGCUGUUUCCUUUAACACAGACCUCAGGUGUCUUCUUUGUUUGGCUAAAAGAGGGCCUGAUAAAAAAACUAGGGCAUCUCAGAAAGCCAGUGCUUUGUACCAAUCUGCUCUUGGCUCGCUAUGAUGCUUACACUCUUCCAUAGUUUUCUUUAAUCUACGAAACAACUUUUCCUUUGAGAUCCUCUUAAGACACGCAGUGCUGUUUCCUUUAACACAGACCUCAGAUCUCUGCUUUGUUUGGCUAAGAGGGCCUGAUAAAAAAUCAUAGCAUCUCAGUAAGCCAGUUCUUUGUACCCAUCUGCUCUUGGCUCGCUAUGAUGCUUACACUCUUCCAUGGUUUUGUUUAAUCUAUGAAACAACUUUUCCUUUGAGGUCCUCUAAAGACACGGAGUGCUGUUUCCUUUAACACAGACCUCAGAUGUCUUCUUUGUUUCGCCAAAAGAGGGCCUGAUAAAAAAACUAUGGCAUCUCAGAAAGCCAGUGCUUUGUACCAUGUGCUCAUGGCUCGCUAUGAUUCCUAUACUGUUCCACAGUUUUCUUUAAUCUACAAAACAAAUUAUCCUUUGAAUAUCAUAACCAUGUCAUAGGAUGCUUAGCCUUGUGUCGUCUAAGAAAGCAUUUUUGUUCUUUAAAGGUACUAAAACUCUGUCAAAUAUAAGUUAGGUAAUGGUGAUUAUAAUUAUAAUAGUAAUAUGGUAUUAAUACUUUUUGCAGGCCAAACCGGACACUAUCACCAAGGUGUGUAGCAUAGUGAAGAAGCAGCUGGCUUUAGCUGAAGAUGUGGAUGUGUCUGCUGGCUCAAAGUUUUCAGAACUUGGUGCUGAUUCUCUUGACACGGUAAUUACCAAUUAUCUUUUGUUGUUCCUAUUUUCUACCUUGCCGAUUAAUCAUUAGCUUUCUAUUAUUUUUCCUUUCCUAUAACGCAAUUAGAAUUUUAGAAUGAUAGGGGUUUUAUAGGGCGGAUAGAUACAUCAGGCUAUGGAGUCCAAUUAAUCAUUAACUUUCAGACUACAACGUUCUUGGAUAGAUCUCUUUGUGCAAAACUGGUUGCAACUUGCUAUGGAUGUUUGUUUUUCCGUGUUUAGUUGGUUAUCGUGAUUGAUAUAUUCGCACCCAUUGAUACAGGUUGAGAUUGUGAUGGGACUUGAGGAGGCAUUUGGCAUCACCGUGGAGGAAGAAAAUGCCCAGAC